rnacentral:lncRNA from 1 species
GCACUAGGCAAUACGCGUAUGAGAUGUUGGUACGCGUAUGGGGGGAAGCCUUACGCGUAUGGGAGAAAAAGAUGACAUUUUGAACGUAAAUUGGUCUCUGUUGGUACGCGUAAUGGGAGAUUGUUACGCGUAGCAUACGCGUAUGAGACAGGUGAUACGCGUAUGAGUUGGGCGAGGAAAUGCGCAAUACGCGUAAGAGAGUAGGCAUUACGCGUAUGGAGUUGGCCAGGUUUGGGCAAUACGCGUAUGGCAUGGACAGUACGCGUAUGGGCAGAGUUGUGAUUUUCCUGAACUGUUGUUGUGCAGUUUUUGGUUGUUUAGGCUGAGUGAUGUACUUAGCUGAGGUAUGAUGUUG